GACGAACGCUGGCGGCGUGCCUAAUACAUGCAAGUAGAACGCUGAAGAGAGGAGCUUGCUCUUCUUGGAUGAGUUGCGAACGGGUGAGUAACGCGUAGGUAACCUGCCUUGUAGCGGGGGAUAACUAUUGGAAACGAUAGCUAAUACCGCAUAACAAUGGAUGACACAUGUCAUUUAUUUGAAAGGGGCAAUUGCUCCACUACAAGAUGGACCUGCGUUGUAUUAGCUAGUAGGUGAGGUAAUGGCUCACCUAGGCGACGAUACAUAGCCGACCUGAGAGGGUGAUCGGCCACACUGGGACUGAAACACGGCCCAGACUCCUACGGGAGGAGGCAGUAGGGAAUCUUCGGCAAUGGGGGCAACCCUGACCGGGCAACGCCGCGUAGGUGAGGAAGGUUUUCGGAUCGUAAAGCUCUGUUGUAGGUCAGGAACGGUUGGGGGGGUGGAAGGUUCACACGGUAAGGGUGGCUAACAAAAAAGGAACGCUAACUACGUG
rnacentral:rRNA from 1 species